rnacentral:rRNA from 1 species
UCGGAUAUAGCAGAGAUACUUUAGUGCCUUCGGGAACUCUGAGACAGGUGCUGCAUGGCUGUCGUCAGCUCGUGUUGUGAAAUGUUGGGUUAAGUCCCGCAACGAGCGCAACCCUUAUCCUUUGUUGCCAGCACGUAAUGGUGGGAACUCAAAGGAGACUGCCGGUGAUAAACCGGAGGAAGGUGGGGAUGACGUCAAGUCAUCAUGGCCCUUACGAGUAGGGCUACACACGUGCUACAAUGGCAUAUACAAAGAGAAGCGAACUCGCGAGAGCAAGCGGACCUCAUAAAGUAUGUCGUAGUCCGGAUUGGAGUCUGCAACUCGACUCCAUGAAGUCGGAAUCGCUAGUAAUCGUAGAUCAGAAUGCUACGGUGAAUACGUUCCCGGGUCUUGUAACACACCGA